UACGGAGGAUGCGAGCGUUAUCCGGAUUUAUUGGGUUUAAAGGGUGCGUAGGCGGGAUGCCAAGUCAGCGGUAAAAAUGCGGUGCUCAACGCCGUCGAGCCGUUGAAACUGGCGUUCUUGAGUGGGCGAGAAGUAUGCGGAAUGCGUGGUGUAGCGGUGAAAUGCAUAGAUAUCACGCAGAACUCCGAUUGCGAAGGCAGCAUGCCGGCGCCCUACUGACGCUGAGGCACGAAAGCGUGGGUAUCGAACAGG
rnacentral:rRNA from 1 species